GGGAGCGGAUGGGUGCUGGUGUGCCUCCCGGUCUUCAAAACCGCGUGUGGCGCUUUUGGGCGCCGGGUGGGUUCGAUUCCCACACGUUCCCGCCA
rnacentral:tRNA from 2 species